UGGUGCUGGGAAAUUGAGUGUUUCUUAUAUAUAUCUCAAUGGAUGACACAACAGAUCGCGAGUAAUUACAGAAUUACAAAAAAAAGGAACAUGAAGAGAAAUAAUUCAAUCGAGGAAUUCAGAGCAAGCCGGGGCGCGAGUGGAAGGGGAACUGAUGCACCACGAUCGGUGGAGCCUUGCUAUCAUCUCGCCUCUUCCUCCUCUCCUUGUCCUUGCCCCCUGCUGCCGCUCCCUGCUCGCCUCCCUUGUUCAUCUUCCCCUCACCUGCCCCCCGCUUCUGCCGCUGCUUAGCCUCUGGAUCACCUCCCGAUUGCUUACCGCCGGCAGCAGGCGACACGGCGGCGACGCCGCCGCAGCAUCCUCCCAAAGAAGCCCAGUACCAUGAUUGUUGGCCGACGACAGAGCGCGCGGUGGGUGGAUCGAUGGACCGAUGUUUUUCCUUCAGCCGAUCGAGCAACUCCUCCUGAUCCUGAUGACUACUGCGUUUGAGCUCUGGUGGUCUACGUGCUGCUCCGAUGUCUC
rnacentral:lncRNA from 1 species